AAACUGGAGAACCAAGGCCAGGAGGCAGAAGGAGGUGGCAGACCCGGCCCGGCGGCGGCCCAGCACGCGCAGGCCACCCAGAGUGGAGAUGUUCACCCUUCCUCAGAAGGACUUCAGGGCUCCCACCACCUGUCUGGGCCCCGCCUGCAUGCAGGACCUGGGCAGUAGCCAUGGGGAAGAUCUGGAAGGAGAAUGCUCCAGAAAACUGGACCAGAAGCUACCAGAGCUCCGUGGAGUGGGGCAUCAUUAACUUGGGCACCAGUGAGAACAAACUCUGCUUUGACCUGCUGUCCUGGCGGCUGAGUCAGAGCGACAUGCAGAGGGUGGAGCCAUCCCUGCUGCAGUAUGCUGACUGGAGGGGACAUCUGUUCCUCCGGGAGGAAGUGGCCAAGUUCCUGUCUUUCUACUGCAAGAGCCCAGUACCCCUCAGACCAGAGAAUGUGGUUGUCCUGAAUGGUGGUGCCUCGCUCUUCUCUGCUCUGGCCACGGUGCUGUGUGAGGCCGGGGCACGUGUGUCUCUAUGGCAACAUCCGGCUGGCCUAUGUCUACCUGGACAGUGAGGUAAGAGUCUUGACUUCCCAGGUGGAACCUGGGCCUGCCUGUGGUCAAGAGUUUCCUGAGUCUGAAUUUGAGGGUGGUCCAUGCUGAGGGCUCUGGGGUUGUGAUGAGUAGGGAAUGGAGCCUUCUGUUGCCACAUGGCUGCCUGUGCCUGGGUUCCCCAGUGGCUCCAAAGUUCCAGUCUCUGAGAUCCCUGGGGUUGAUGUAGAAGCCAAGAGCCAGACCCAGAAACAGCAAGGUAGGAACAGAGCAGGGUAGACCUAAGCAUGACACCCAAGAGUGAUGAGGGGGUCCCUGAUGUGAUGGGUUGGGGGUGGAUGGCAGUA
rnacentral:sRNA from 1 species